rnacentral:rRNA from 1 species
UACGUAGGGCGCAAGCGUUAUCCGGAAUUAUUGGGCGUAAAGAGCUCGUAGGCGGUUUGUCGCGUCUGCCGUGAAAGUCCGGGGCUCAACUCCGGAUCUGCGGUGGGUACGGGCAGACUAGAGUGAUGUAGGGGAGACUGGAAUUCCUGGUGUAGCGGUGAAAUGCGUAGAUAUCGAGAGGAACACCUGCGGCGAAGGCGGGUUGCUGGGCUGACACUGACGCUGAGGCGCGAAAGCUAGGGGAGCGAACGGG